GGCAUCAUAGAGGGUGAUAAUCCCGUACAUGGCAUGGAGCGCCCGAAGCUUUGUGAUACGCUUUCUAAGAGUCGAGUUGUUUGGGAAUGCAGCUCAAAAUGGGUGGUAAAUGCCAUCUAAGGCUAAAUAUUGGGGAGAGACCGAUAGCGAACAAGUACAGUGAUGGAAAGAUGAAAAGAACUUUGAAAAGAGAGUUAAACAGUACGUGAAAUUGCCAAAAGGGAAGGGUAGGAGGUCAGAGAUGCGGCCUGGGAUUCAGCCUUGCUUUUGCUUGGUGUUUUUCCCAGAUUGCAGGCCAACGUCGGUUUUGGGCACUGGAGAAGGGUAGGAGGAACGUGGCACCUCUCGGGGUGUGUUAUAGCCUCCUACUGGAUACAGCGACCGAGACCGAGGACAGCAGCGUACUCGCAAGAGCGGGCC
rnacentral:rRNA from 1 species